rnacentral:rRNA from 1 species
UACGGAGGGGGCAAGCGUUGUUCGGAAUUACUGGGCGUAAAGAGUGCGUAGGCGGUUUUCUAAGUUUGGUGUGAAAUCUCCCGGCUUAACUGGGAGGGUGCGCCGAAAACUGGAAGGCUUGAGUAUGGGAGAGGUAAGCGGAAUUCCUGGUGUAGCGGUGAAAUGCGUAGAUAUCAGGAGGAACACCUGCGGUGUAGACGGCUUACUGGACCAUAACUGACGCUGAGGCACGAAAGCGUGGGUAGCAAACAGG